GGAAUUGGCUCAUGUGAUUUUUGGAGGCACAGUGUCCUGCAACAAGCUGUCUUUGGGCUGGAGACCCUGGGAUGCUGGUAGUGUGGCUCAGUCCAACUACAAAGGUCUUAAAACCAGGGAAGCCAGUGAUGUAAUUCUCAGUCUGAGGUGAAGGCCUGAGAGCCUGCGGUUCUGCUGGUGUAAGCCCUGGGAUCCCAUAGCCAGAGAGUUCUGCUGUCCAAGGCUGCAGGAGGAGAGUGUUUUCGGCUCCAGCAGAGAGACAAAAACCUUUUUCUCUGUUUCUGCUCUGUCUGGGCCCCCAGUCAAUUGCAUGGUUCCACGUGGAGGGUGGAACUUCCCCAGUCAAUUGCCAGGUGCCCACCCACAUGGAGGGUGGACUUCCCCACCUCUUCCACUUUGACUCACAGGCCAUCUCCUCUGAAAGCGUGGAGACACACACCCACAGAUAUGCUUUCCCACUUCUCUAGGUAUUCCUUCAUCCAGCCACACAGACACUAAAAUUAAACAUCUCCCCUCUGUGUGACGUGAUCUUCUCCUUGUAGGGUGGACAUAUUUCCAGUCCUCCUUCCAGACUCACUUUGUCUCCCUUCCUCAUGAAAUUUUCCUUGUAUUUUUCCCUCUCUCAGUCCAAAUUAGGUCCCUUUCUGCUGUCCUGUGAUGCUCUGUGCUGAUUUCUACAAUCCUCACCUCUCUGAGUGCAGAGGUGUGUGUGAGGAAAUUGCUCCACCACUGAGCUACAUCCCCACCCUGUUAUCUUUCCCUGUAUAUCCAACUUGUAAAGACAUUUUCAAUCUGUUUUCCAGUGGUCAAAUCCCUUUACAUUCUCACCUGUUAAGUUUUCAUUUCAUAAUGUGUGAGAUUUCUAGUUCCUCCAGUUGGGAUUCCUACUUUCUGCUGUUAAGUUUUCAGCCUUUUAUUUGUUUUUGCAGAAUCACAAUAAAUAAAGGCUGUUUGCAAUUACAUAAAACUAAUGAAGCUUGCACUGAUCUUUUAAAAUGUGAAAUAAAAGCUUAAAAUCACCUAUAAUCAGAACACCCUAAUUAUUUUUCAAAAAAUAUCACACAUGUGCACAAAACUGCAGACACCUGACUUUAGGAGAUACCAUUAAAAACAAAUAGUCUACUGUUGGGCCAAUGGGUACUGGGAUGAACCCACAGCCUUAUGUGUGCUAAGCAAGGGCUCUCCCACAGUCACACCCCCAGUCCCUGGGUUGUUUCUGUUUUUAAAUAAACAUUUUCAUUUAUAAGCAUCUGUAAAAAUAACAGAUCCUGUGUACCUUUUACUCAUUUUUGCCCAGAGGUAAUAUCUUGAAAAAUUAUAGUUCAAUAUUACCAAGGAUGACACUGAUACAGUCAGGAUGCAGAGCAUCUCCAUCUCUAUCCCUUCAGGGUCAAAUUCAAUGGCAGUGAGUCUUCAGGCAGCCAGUAGGAGGCACAGGAUCAUUUGCAGAGGCGCAUAGCCAUUGUGUUGCCACCCUACGGCCGCUAGAGGUUGCCAAGUCGCCAUUUACUGAAGCUGGAGGGAUUCUGCAACAGCACAUUGCUUCAACAGAUGAAACAAAGAAUGGAUUACAAAAUAUAUAAUGAUUUACCUUGUCCGAUUCCAAACUGCAUGAAUGUCACCAUAUCAAAUCGGAGGGAUGACUUUUCAGUUUUCAGUAAUAGGGCUCAUGCAUACUUCCAAACAGGAAAGGCAUAAAAGAACAUCCAUAAUAACUGUUAGUAACCAGCAAUGUUCCCAAGUAAAGGUGAUCAGUCAGGAAGCAAGGACUUUUAACGUUUAAAAUAGUGGAGUCCAAUGCUAUCCUCCCAUCAUUUCAGAGCUGCAACAAUGAGACACCUUCAGUCCUCAAUCAUGUAUUUCUGACUUUUUGAUAAUGCACCAAGGAUGCCAGCUUGGGUAGGGAGUGCCGGGAGAGGGGACCUUGACUUAGGAUGAGUGCGAUCCUUGAUGUAUGUGAUGGAGAAGUACUUCAACCUUGAUUAGCCUUGACCAGCCUUCAAGCUCCUAGAGUAUUUGCUUUUAAAAAUGCAUGAGACAUAGAUGUGUCACAGAGCACCAAUAAAGAUAAGGUGUUUCAAAAAAGAUAAGGUUCCUGAAAUACUGAAUUGUGAUUGAGAAGGACCUGCUUGCCUCUGGAGGAAUGAGCUUCCUGAGCUGAGGUUCAUCAUGGAAGCUUUGACAGGUCCUCAAUUUGUGAAGGCAGAGAGAGCCCAUGGAGGCUUAUUCUGACCUGAAUAUUCUGUGUGCAAGAAUCACAAACCCUGUUCCCCUUCCUCAUCAUCUCAGCCCCUUCACACACUCAGGUCUCUUUCCAGAGGCAGAGGGUCCCCUGGACAAGAAAGAAUAGAAAGGACAAGAGACACCUGUCCUCUGACACUCAGGAAGACACCACAGCUCUCUGGCUGCGGGUUCUGGUGUUUUCCUAACGGAUCUACCAACCAGGGCCAGGUCAAAGUUCAACUCUCUCUAGAUUUCACCACUAAAGACUUGGUGAGAUAAAUCAUGGGAAAUAACUCAACAUUUAAAUACUGAUUAGGGCUGGGGCUGGAGCUCAGUGGUAGAGCGCUGGCCCAGCAUGUGGGAUGUUCGGAGUUUCAUUUUCUGCACCGCAUAUAAAUAAAUUAAAGAUCCAUUGACAACUAAAAAAUAUAUUUUUUUAAAAAUUUAAAUACAGAUUAAAUGUAAAAUAACCCUGGACCUUUAGUAGCCCCUGGUCCUGUUCUUUAAGCCUCAAGUGGACUUUCUUUUAUAGCUUUAAUCCACUGAUAAUCAGACUUCUAUUUCAAACCAUGAGUGAAUACACACACGUGCACACACAGAAAUAUAGAUUUUGCACGAUCUCAUUUGUAUGUGGAAUCUUAAGUAGUCGAACUCAUAGAAGUAAGGAGUCAAUGGUGGGUGGUAGGAUCUUGAGGAGAGAUAAAUGAAGUGAUUGAUGUUGGUCAUAGGGUAUAAAAGUUUAGUUAUGCAAGAUAAAUAAUUUCUGGAGAUCUAAUGGUAGCUAUAGUUGAGAGUAUCAGAUAUUUGAAAUUUGGCAAGAGGGUAGGUCUUGAAUACUCUAACCACACCAAGGAAGAAAAUGGUGACUAUAAGAGGUGUUAGGUACGCAAUUUAGCUUGUUUGUGAUCAUUUCUGUAGUAUGCAUGCAUCAAAACAUCAGGUGGACUGCCUUCGACAUACACAAGGUUCAUUUGACAUUUAUACCUCCACAAAGAUGUUUGAAGAACAAAAUAGUAACCAAGAGCCUGUAGCAUAUGGACAUGUGUGAGAGGAAGGAAGCAAGCCCAACCAUUCUCAGGGAAUGGAUGCCAUGCCCCUGGAGAAGGUCCCUCGAGUUCGGGGAGAGGGGACCUUGACUUAGGAUGAGUGGGAUCCUUGAUGUAUGUGAUGGAGAAGUAUUUCAGCAUGUGGCAGAGACACUGAAGAUUUCUUUGGGAAAUCAGAGAAACAAUUGAGGGAGAAGUGGGCUGUCUUCAAGAUAUCAAGAGCCUUUAGGACAGAGCCAGGAAUAAACAUUCAAGGGAGAUUGUGACCAUCUCAAGAGGGAGAGACAGCAAUCUUUUGGUUUAGGAUGUCAAUAUUCUUAGAGACACAGUAAUAAGGCCUGGAAUAGAGGUGGACUCAGGGAGAAGCUGUGCAAUUUCCUGCAGUGUUUCUAGUGCUUGUGCAUCAUCCUCUUAAUAUGUUACUUUUUGUGGGCAAGGGUGGGGGCCAGGUGCUCAGGCUGUAUUGUUCAGAAUGCUUCUUUUGUAUCUCAGUGGUGUUUUAGUUAGCUUUAAAUUUUUUUUUUCUGCUGAGGCUAAAAAACCCAAGAAGAACAAUUUUGAAGGUAGAUAAGUUUAUUUGAAGGCUCAUGGUUUCAGAGGUCUCAAUCCAUAGAGAGCUGGCUCCAUUCUCAGGGGUAGAGGUGAGGCAGAACAUCAUGGCAGAUGAGUGUGGUAGAGGGAAGUGGCUCAAGACAUCAUACCAGGAAGCAGAGAGAGAGACUGAGGUCAGCUCACCAAAUAUAUACUCCAAAGGCACGCUCCCAACUGUUGUAGGGACAGACGAGGCAAGGCCCUGAAGAUAGCUGGAAACAGUUUUAUUUGGCUGCAGCCAGGUUCAGAGGGCACAGCUUUUGCUGUAAUCAAUCAAUCCCCUGAACCCCGAGUUCAGGGAGUUUCAGAGUUUUAUACCCAGCAUGUAAGGGGAGGGGCUCAGAAGUUCACACUCUGCAGAAGUUCAUAUAAAAGCAGCUUUUUCUUUCACCGUUCUGGGCAAGUUAACCCUUCAAGGACAACACCUGAGAAGGGGAGAGCUUCUUCUCCCCUUUCUUUCUUCCCCCUGCCAGCUGUUACCAUGGAGCCCAAUUGGUCACUUCUCUUAUCAUAAAAAUGUAGACAUCUCUGUGAAGCCCAGCUCAAGGUCAGAGACCUUGUUUACACAUUUCUACAAACUACUAUACUGGAUAUAUUUGUGAAAAAUUAGUAAGGGUGUGUCCUGUACCUGAAGUGCUGAUAACUUCCUGGCCAGUGGCCAAGUAAAACAGGGCAACAUGAAAAUAGGAAGUUUAUCUACAUUGGACUCUUUUGCUGACAGUCCUAAAAUCAGCCAUGGUGAAGAGGGCUUUUCUGUGGAGAAAGGGGGUGCCACUUCACAACUAAGUGUUAGAAUGGAACUGAUACAUGGAUCCUUUUUGUAGAUGCUUCAUAUUUCCCCAGGCUGAGUGGGGUUGGGCAGGGUGGUUCUUCAGGGUCCCCUGUGACUGUCUUCCUAGGAUGAUGCAGGUACACCCUGCUUGGUGCAGCCUGUCCUUGUGUUCAUAGCAUGUGUGUGUGACAGGUAGAAUGUGCAUGGAAACAGUGCCACAGUGCACAUGCCCAUAGCUUCCAUCAUUCCUGAUGUGUGUAACCUUAUUUGUCUCAUCUCCCCAAAGCCAGAAAGUGUAAUCAGCCUCUCUUAGCCCCAUGAAUGUGGAGGGAGGGGUGGGUCACCUAAGUGAAUGUGAGGUGCUCUAUUAGAAUGGGCUUGGAUGAGAGCCAGGUGAAGGCACCAGAUCCUCAGAAACGGGCAUGGCAUCCUCAGCCCUGCCUCCUGAUCAGACAGGAAUGUUAUUUCCCAGAGGAGGGAAGUGUCUGGCUUGAGUUUACACAGCGAUUCAAGGAGAAGCUGAGUCCUCAGUUGGGAUUAGAUUUGUCCCCACACUAGAAAUUCCACAACUUCCAGCAUCGUAGGAGCAUAGGAGAGUGGUGUGUGUGUGUGUGUGUGUGUGUGUGUGUGUGUGUGUGUUAGAGAGAGAGCAAGCAAGAGAGGGAGAUAGGGAUCUUCCUCAUGCAGAUUUAGAAACUGUUGAGAAAGGAAUGAAAAUAAGAGCCCUUCAUUCUCAAAUUCCUGGAACGUAAGCAAAACUCAGUCAAUGGAGAAAUUAGACUUAAGUGGCUUCCAUAUUAAUAUAGCAAGACAGGGCUGGGGUUGUGGCUCAGUGGUAGAGUUCUUGCCUAGCAUGUGUGAGGCACUGGGUUCGAUUCUCAGCACCACAUUGACAACUUAAAAAAAAUAAAAUGUAGCAAGACAAAAAUAAAUGAACUCACAUGGUUUAAAUACCAAAAGGAACUGGCUGGAAGUAAUUGAUAAAUAGGGAACAUGUAGGUGACAUUCAUGCUUCACGUUAUUAAUGUUGCUAUCAGCCAGGCAAAGGAAUGGAUUCAAGCUGUCCAGCUGCAUUGGAGGGAUUCCACAAACCUGGAGUGAGAUCCAAAUAUGCAGAAAAUUAAGUGUGAUAAGAUCCAAUUUUUUUUCUUUUUUUUCCUGUCAUCUGCUGUAACAAACAUCUGAGAUAAAUCAAUUCACAAUGAGAGAAGGUUUAAUUUGGUUCAUGACUUCAGAGGUUUCAAUCCAUCAUCUGUGGACCCUGUCUGUUUUCCAUAUAUCGUGGCGGGAGUAAGUGGCAGAGGAAGCCUCUUGUAUUGUCAGUCUAGGAAGCAAAAAAGGAAAGAGGCUUGAGUCAUAAAAUCUCCCUUCAAUAGAAUGUGCCUAGUCAUUUGAAUUUUUUCCAGUCACUACUCCCUCUUAGUGGUACCACCAUGUCCUGCACGCACCUCAUUCUGGUGACAAGACUGAGAUGAUUAAAACACUUGGGCCUUUGGGAGCACUUACCCAAACAUUGGCACUAUCCUCAGUGGCAUCCACAGACCACCAUGAGAAGAAGGCAUCACUGCCAGACCCCUCUUUUAAAAUAACGACAAUUCCUAAUGUGUUGUGUACAUUUUUAUUUAAUUUUGUAUGUUACACAGUGAGAAAAACAGUGGAAUAUUCAUGAGAUGCUGAUGUUGAGGAGGGAGCAAACCAAGUGAGUCUGAGCCAAAGCCUGAGCUAAGACAUAUAUCUUCUGUUUGUUAAUUUCAUUUGUGUGGUUCUUGCACAGUAAUACCAGUUUCUUUCCAUUUUUUGAGUGCACUUCUUGAGGAUGACGGUACAUUCAUUUCAUUGUUGUGAUCCAGGGUACGGACAGACCAGUAGUGCCAACCAAAGCUGGUGGGAACAGCUCUGGCACUGCCCCUCCAUCCUCCAGCCCUGCUUUCUGCCCCAGUGGGAUGCCAUUGUCUUAACAAAGUGGUUUCCUGGAAAGCAGGGCCUGUUUUUCAUGGCUUCCUGACAGCAGGAAAGCCUGAGGUAAGAAUUGGGGACCUCUACAGCAUCUUUGGGGGAAGACUUCUUCUUGCUCCCUCUCCACUUCUGGGGUUACAAACCCUCAGCUUCUUGGACACAAGGCACUGUGAUUGGCAGUAAAGAGAGAGGAAGAGGAUCCGGGAAUUCUGUCCUGCAUUUCCUCAGAAAGUGCAUCUGGGGCCAGUUCUGCCCAUUUUGUGGCUCUCUCGAGGAGAUUCUGUAAUCAGUAGUCAGCUCUCUGUGGGCUCAGCUUCUGCAUCCACAGAUUCAACCCAACCCCAAACGAAAAAUAUUUGAAAACAUAUUUGUGUCAGUACUGAACGCAUUUAGACAUUUUUUGUCGUUAUUCCAUAAUCAACAUACACUUUGAUAACAGUUUCAAAACAUUUACAUAAGUAACUUAAAGAUGAUUUAAAGUAUUUGGAAGGAAUAUUGUGAAUAUGACAUGCACAUUCUUAAUAAAUUAAAUAAAUUCAAUUUAUUUAAGGGAUUAGAGCAUCUUGUGAUUUUGAUAUUCAAGGGGGUUCUGCAGCCAACCCCCCUUGGAUACUGAGGAGGGAUAAUGGGCAUUGACUGAUUGUUAAAAAUCAGUGUCCCCUUGCUGCUCACUAUUGGGCAUUAAAGAGUUGGUGGCCAGGACCCCACCUGCUGGUUGCAGGGACUAGAUGGUGUCCAGGAGGGAUCCACCUACAACAGAAGUGAUGUGCAGUAGGGAGAAGCCAAGUUCAGCAUCCCCGUCCCCACUCCCUCUUACCCUCACUAUCCUCAGUACAGGGAAGCCUGUCAGUCAGCCUCCUAGGUCACCAGAUCCCACCACUGGUGUGUCAUCUGAAGAGUGUAUGUGAGGGAGCCCUAACCAGCUGGAGGGUGCUACAGAGGAUCCAGAUGUGGAGGAGACCUUUCAAUGGGGGAAUUAGAGUGGUCAACUAGGUAAUGAGAAGUGCAGAAUGGUGGUGGGGUGCAUAGUGAGAGGGAAGGCUGGGUAGGAAGAAAGAGAAAUCCAACCUACCUACAUCCAGAGGCAAAGACCUGUGGAAGUACAGGUGUGCAUCACAUACCAAUAUUUCUGUCGGUGAUGGGCUGUGCAUAAGACAGUGAUCCCCUAAGAAUAUAUUGCCUGGUGACAUCAGAGCCAUCUAACCCUGUGUAAGUACACUCUAUGGUGGUCUAAGAGGAUGAAAUCACCUAGUGAUAUAUUUCUCAUAGAGUCCACAUUGUUAGGCCAUGCCUGAACCUAUGAAAUUAGGAAUGUCCUGCAUUUCCCCAGAAGGUGCAUCUGGGGCCAGUUCUGCCUAUUUUGGGGCUCUCUCGAGGAGAUUCUAUAAUCAGUAGUCAGCUCUCUGUGGGCUCAGCUUCUGCAUCCACAGACUCAACCACGAGAAAUUUAUCCACGAGUCAAUUUUCCAGCUGAGGAUUGCCUUUUCAAUCAGCUAUUCUGAAAGAAAUUUUAUUUUGCAAAUCUCUUUGGUUUUUAUUACCUCAUUAGGUUUCCAUAUUCACUGUGGAAGGGUUUUAACUGAUGGGGAAGUCAGGCCCAGAGAAGAUGUGAUGAACCCAGCCUAAUUCCAUCUUAAGAUUGGGAGCCAUCUCGUCCCAAGGGAUGUGAACACCUGCUUCGUGGAGCUCCUGAUUAUGGUGUACACAUGGAAGACCUCUCGUGCCAAGAGCAUCAUCGGCGUGAUUCCCUGCUUUCCUUACAGCAAAUGGUGCAAACUGAGGAAGAGGCUCAAUCAUCUCUAAAUUAUUUGAUUCCAUGAUAUGCAAAGCUGAUCCCAGAUUACAGGAAUGCAGUCAUCAUGGCCAAGUCUCCAGUCUCGGCCAAGAGUGUUUUUCUUCCACUUCCCCGGGGACGGUAACGGUUCACUCUGACCAAUGACAUCUUACUGUUUUCCAACUGCCUCCACCGCGACUAAAACUUCAGGCUUAGGAACCACGGAGCGCGCCACAGGUCAAUGCUAUUUGGAGUUAACAGUAUUGUUGUCCACUCAGGCCCAGGUGCGUCCAUGGCUAAAUUCAGCAUCCUGAGGAGAGGAGGACAGAGUUCCCCUGAAUAAUGUCAAGGAGCGAG